AUACAGAUAACAAAGUGUCAAAUCCUUUAAAGUAAUGCUUUCAGGUGCUUGUCUUUGAAUAGCUGUCCCAGUUUAGCUUCUGGCUGUCAGAACAAAGGGAGUAACCAAGCAGCUUGUUAGAGUCAAAACCCAGAGCAGAUUAAGCCUUCGCUCUGAGAAAUGUUUAGCUCCUUAUGAGGGAAACCCAGAACACAUGCUGGUAAAUACAAGGACUCUCUUUUUCUGUCAUUCUCAUGAGCAACAGAAAUCAUGGCCCCAGUGAAUCUUGCAGGAGACUGGCUUCAGUGACGCAAUUUUUGCCCUUUGGCUUGCCAGCUUACUCUACUAUUUUAGGCGUGGCUGGUUUAGAUCAGCCUUGGACAGGGUUAGGAGCACUGAUGGCAGCCCAUAGUUGGGUUCAGCAGGCUCUUGCCCUGGUAGGACCACCACUGGUGGUAGAGCACUUCUGGGGCUGCAUAUGAACAUCCUCUUCCUUGCCAUCCCUGGUGUGAAAAUGGAAGCUUCACCUGCUUCUCUCUCUCAUUUUACACUUGAAGCAAAAUAAAAACUGGAAAGUGG